rnacentral:lncRNA from 1 species
GUUCCUAUGUGACGCUGAUGGGCCCUGGUUGCUGCUAAAUGCUUGUUGAAAGUGCAUUGUGCACUUUUUGUAUGUAGCUACAAAAUGAGGGUGGAUAUCACUUUAUAGUUUAUAGGCAUUAUAUACUAAUAACAAUCAUUGACAAAUCACAUUCCCCUUUUACCACCACAGGACGCACCUCACCAGUACCAGAGCAACAGCUGUGGGGUGUUUAUGCUGAUGGGGGACAUGCUCUCUAUCAGGAGUUGGUGGUUGGACUGCUGUUGGAGACCUUUAUACUUGAAAGCCCUGCAGAACUAGCUGGCUCCUUCUCACCCUCUCCAUCUCCCCAUCUCAGUCACACCUUCCAAUCACUAAGCAGUGAAAGCCCUGCAGGACUAGCUGGCACACCAAGCUCACCCUCUCCAUCUCCCCAUCUCAGCCACACACUCCAAUCUGGCACAACAGAGGACAGGCCAUUCUUACCACCCGAAGUCCUUCAGCAAAUUGUACAAGAGACGCUGAGACUGGACAUGGCGAUGCUUGGCGUGUUCAACAGGGUUUCAAACACAUUCCGAGAACUAAUCAAGCCUCUCCACCCUUCCAUAUAUAUAAAUGACAGUUUGGCAGGGGAC